rnacentral:lncRNA from 1 species
ACAAAUUCAACAGGGAGGCACUUGCUCUUGUUUCAUUCAGGAAGCUCAUUGCUCGAUAAAGGCACUUUCGCGCUGGACAUCAAGACAUUCCAGCUUGAGAAGGUGUUUGCAACACCUGGCACACCCAUGACAUAUGUAUAUAGCAACUUCCCACCAUCAUUGCUAUCGUCCCCAACAAUAUCGAGUGCUGCUUCAUAGUUCAUUAUUCUGAUCGGUAAUCCUUGUUUACAUUUUGCUAGCUGUUACUUUUUCUGUGAUUGUGGCAAAAUUAACCAAGCCCAUGAGCAUAAUGGUGAUAUAUGCGUUUGCCUGUUCUAAUUGCCAUUUGCUGGACAAAUAAAACUAAAUAUCAUGCACACUAUAAGUAGCAUUUUGGAGGCCUCAUGGAAUCAUUAAAAAAACACCAGGUGGCAACAAUUGAUUCAGAGAAAUGUUUUUGUGAUCAAGCUAAUUGAUGAUAUUACAAGUUUAAAUCCAGAUCACCGUUUUGAUUGUUCAAGUCAAGCACGUGUUAUCUUGUCCUCUCUUUUCAUAGAUAUAAGGAGGCGGGGAUAUCUUCUUUUUGUGACCUUUACAACUAUAAAUUUAUCUCAUGAUGUUGAUUUGACAUAAACCUGCAUAACUAAUAAUAUGGUAGCAAAUAAGAGGCCGUGUCAUUGUUACAGCUAAUGAUGCACACUUGUAUAUGAUGUGAGCAAAAUUUUGGUGGGGAGCUUGAAUAUGCUUUUGCUCCAUGGACUUGCCAUUAAAAUAGCAAGAUCAGUUUGUCCGCUUGUGCUUACAAACAGCUUGAUUUGAAAUCAUUGGUUUGGCGGCAUGUGCCUCUGUCUCAGUCCUUCAAUGAAGGCACAUGCCAAAUGCAAGAAAUGAGUUUUCGUAGGAUGACAAAGCACACACAGGUUGUUGAGUGUUGCUACUGAGGUCCCUAAGUACUUUUCCUUGAGUGAGAAAUUUGGUAACUACUCCCUCCGUUCCUAAAUAUAAGUCUUUUUAGAGAUUCCACUAGGGACUACAUACGGAUGUAUAUAGACAUAUUCUAGAGUGUAGAUUCACUCAUUUUGCUCCGUAUGUAGUCCAUAUUGAAAUCUCUAAAAGGACUUAUAUUUAGGAACGGAGGGAGUACUAGGUAACUUAUGAAGUCUAGAAAGCCAUUGUUUCUUCACAACUUUCAAGUUUAUUUUUGGAUUCACUACAUUUAUUUUUUCCUGCUAUGUACUCCCUCCGUCCGAAAAUACUUGUCGGAGGAAUGGAUGUAUCUAGACGUAUUUUAGUUCUAGAUACAUCCAUUUUUAUGCAUUUCUUCGACAAGUAUUUCCGGACGGAGGGAGUAUCUUAACUUGGACUGCUAACUACUCUGUUAAACGCAUAAGAGCGAGUGUUUUAGACUUUGAGGUCGAUAAACCAAUUGGACCAUGGGUAAAAAGAAUUUAGAAGGCUGAUUUCCUUUGUGUUGUGCUUCUUCCCAUGUUUCUUCUGAAUGUUGCCUGUCAUUUCCUUCCUGUUUGCCCCCAAGCUUUUGAAUAUCUGCAAGUCGAAUACUCCUAAUUUUUAGACAUUCGGCAGGAGAUCGCACAUGAGGAGAUGCUGGAGCAAGGCUUGCGCUGCAGUGCUCAAGCACAUAGUCAGCUUGGUCAGAAUAGUGCUGAUGCUAAUGCUGGAGGUCCGGCUGAUGUGUUGAGUAUUGGAGAUAGCGCCGAGGUUUUUUUUUUGGUCUUCUUGCUAUGUAUUCCAAGUUGGUCUGUAAUAUGGUCAUCCUGAAGGGGAAAACCUGUAGUGUUUUAUCUUGUGUUCCUUAAUCCAACAUUGAAUGUUGUGUUUGUUUGGCAGCGAGAGCAUUGUCAGCGUUUAGUUUGUGGAAUCAUUAGUUGAACUAAGACCUUUUGAGAAGUUGUGGAAUGGAGCUUGUCAAGGUGUUUGGAAUUAAGGAGACUUGACGAUCUAUUAUAAGUCAGACCUGCACUGUCAGACCUGCACUGUUGAUCUACUCUAUUUUGUUUACAGUCAUUUCAGAAAUUUUGAUGUCACUGAAGAAAAAAAAAAGGUAAGCCCAGAGAUGAGAUAAUAACCUCUAACAUGACUUGACUUUCACCGCGACUUUCUCUGGCUAUGUGUUUCAAUCUGCAUUGCAGAUUAGGAACAAGGCUUCUUCAUUUUAGUUUUUUCUCCUUUUUAUAUGUAGUUGGAGUUUAUCAUCGUGUACCUUUGAUCAAACUAUGAUUGGUGUGUUUGCCUUAAAAAAAUUGUGCUGAAGUAUGAUAGUUAAGACUGUCAGAAUUGAAAGUAACUAUGAUCUUGCUGUAUACUUACAUGCCUGCCUAGUGAACCUGAAUCUGGUGAUCAGAGAUGAAAUAAGCUUGGAGUGUUGGAGUUUAGCAUCGUGUGCCUUUGAUUGAACUAUGAUAGGUGCAUUUGCCAAAUAAGGUAAGUAUAAAGGAUCAGUAUGUUAAAAAAAAGUGCUGAAGUAUGUCAAUGAAGGCUGUCAGAAUUCAAACUAACUAUGAUCUUGCUGUAUAUACAUGCCUGCCCGAACCUGAAUCUGCUGAGCAGAGAUGAAUGGGCUCGGAGUGUCGGUGUCAUGUAUCCAGCUUGGUUGUCUACUUGUCUUCUCCGACCGAUCAGCGAGGUGUUUUCAAGUUCUUUGAAUGGUAUAUUUUUGUCCUGUCUCUCACGACGUGCCUGUAUUGCAGUAUUUUGAAGCCUUUGGCGGCGUUGCUGAGGGACAGGCGCUGCUCGACUACUUCAGGCUUGCAAUGUGCUUUUCUGUGUCAGGAUUGCGCCCCAUCGCUUUCCUUCACAAUCAAUAGAUCUGAGUGAUAUAGAUGUUAGGACAUCGAACAUGUUCUGAGACCACGGGGCCUGAUAUUUCAUGGCAAAAGAGACCUUUACAAGCUUAUAUACAAAAUGAAUUUGGUACACACAAUUCAUGCAAGUGGUAAAAGCGCGGGAUGUACUGCAGGAUUGCACAAUCUGCAUGAUGUACAGUGAACCUGAAUCAUCGACAAAAAGUUUAGGAUGAUUAAAUUGUACAGCAGAACAAGAGGACAGCGAUACUGUGUGUGACAAUUGUGAUCCCCAAUCGACCGUACUUUGGUGCUGGGUAGGACAAAUCACAUUUGUUUUGGUCGACUGGUGGGGUCAGGUAACUUGUUUGAGUCAGCUGGCGAAGAAAUGGCGCACAUGACAAGUAGGAUGCAAGUAUUGCACAUCUUGUGAUAAGAAAGUGAGCCAGCUUGUGAUGAUGAUAUGAGUAAAACUGGAAUGAUGUCGAAUAGUUUCUGAAGGAAUCAUUCCAACUUUGUUUGCUCAGGAGGCACGUCAUUCAUAUAGCAAGAAGAGCUUGCCAUCUUGUGAUAAGAAAGUGAGCCAGCUUGUGCUCGAGAUAAAUUGGUAGCAUUGCAUCCACAUUUUGUAGAGAGUUCAAACUUUCACCUGCCUAUUCUCAGUCCUUCAAAGCACAUGCUGUAUGCAACCAAUCAUUUUUGUAGGAUGGUGGAUGGCACACAUAGUUUGUUGAUUGUUGCAAUUGAGAUCCUUGAGUUUUUUUUUACUUCACUGACCCAAGUGAGAAAUUUGUUAUUCCAUAGGAGUACUAGCUAUUUUGUGUUGAAAUGGGACAGUCACAGAGCUACCGAUUUUUUUUGCGGCUCAACUUGUUUUUUACAAUAUUCAUUUCUGAAUGUUUGCAUGCCCUAAAAGUUAAAACACAUAAAAAGAAGUGUUUGCUCUUGCAUAUUUCAAAUUGCGCUGUGGUUAAUAUGACCUAUUGUUUGUUCUGCUUUGCUCACAAGCUCUUGAAUAUUGACAAUUUGAACAUUUGCAAACUUUGAGAUAUUGGGCAGGUUUUAAGAAAGAGGCCGAUAAGGAGACAGUGGAACAAGGUUGUACUGCAAGCUCAAGCGCAUAGACGCCAUGGUCAGAAUAGUGCUGAUGUGAAUGCUGGACACUGGAGGUCAAGCUGGCGUGUCGAGGAUUCAAGAUGGUGCUGAGGCUGCAAAGCAACUCGAAUGCUGGCGACUAAGUUGAUCCGCUUUGGUUUGUAAUACGGUCAUCCACAAGGAUAGAACAGAACCUGGAGCAUUCAUCUUGUGUGCCCCGAUCUGACAAUGAUUGUUGCUUUUGGCAUGAUAAGGUGAUGAAAGCAUUAGCUAUGUUUUGUUUCUUCAUACUCAUUAGGUUAACUAAGGCUCUGCGAGAAGUCAAAGUAAAUGUUGGUCAGGUUGAUGUAUGUCUACAACUCCAAGUUGGUGGAAUGGAGUUUGUCAGGUGGUCAGGGUUAAUAAGGAGAUGACCAGGAGGAUCUAUUGAUAUCUAGUUGCAGUGUUGAUCUACUCUAUUGUUACAGUCAUUCAGUUUUUUUUCGAUAUCUCAGUGAAGAAUUAAAAAGUUAGCCUGGAGAUGAGAUGCCAACCCUUUUUUUUCAGUUAUUCAUGCUUAGAAUCAUUGACAGUUUAACCAAAAACGAACAUGGGAGGAUAUUACUGUAAUUUUGUGGCCUUAGAAUACAAGUAUGCUUUUUUUCCCUUGAGGCCUCCCGGACUAUUAUUUUGAGCGAUAAAACAGUUAAAUUAUUUCCAAUAGUUUUUUUGGUUAAAAAACAACUUUUUGGGAUAGUUAUGAAGCUAUUGCUUGUUUGCCUGCUUAUGCACAAGUUAGCUAGCCUCUCUCCAAUUCAAAGGUGAAAAAUAUUAGUAGUGUUCCUUUUUACCACUAAGUUGGUCUGGGUUUGUCUCUAUUUUGGUCUGUAAUUUGGCCAUCCAGAAGGAACGAAGGAUAGAAUAUAGCCUGGAAUUUUCCUGCUCCGGGAAGUUAAUUAACCUCAAUCUCAAGGGACGAAUUUGUGGCCGCCGGAUGGGCAAUCAAGGGCCAGGAUGGGACCUUGGUGUGAUGCUGGGACAUUUGCAGGAAGCCCCUCCGAAUAUUCCAAAAUGUAGCUACAGGCGCCCCCCGUUCCCCUGAAUCCCAUCACUCCUCACUCCUCACUCUGACUCUGGUCUCCCGUGCUCUGCUCACCAAUCCAACCCACCAAAAUAGAGCUUGCUUCUCACCACCGGCGGCGGGAUGGGCGGCGGCGCGGCGGACGAGGGCCAGACCAGCGAGGACCCUCGCGUAGAUCCGGGCAUCCUCGACCAACGGCGCCGUUCCUCUCCUCGUCUGCUGCCGUCGCGAGAUGGCUUCCAGGAAAUGGCCUCGCUGCCGAUCCCCGACGAGCUCGUGGCGGAGAUCUUCCUCCGGCUGCCCACGCCAGGCGACGUCAUCCGCACCUCUGGCGCCUGCGUCUCCUUCCGUCGCCUCGUCGCCGGCCGCCCCUUCCUCCGGCGCUUCCGCAAGCUCCACGACCCUCCCCUCCUCGGCUUCCUCGCUCUAACCGGAGCCUUCUUCCCCGUACUCCCGCCUUCUCCUUCCGCGUCGGCAGCCAGCGCCGUCGCCCUCGCCGCCGACUUCUCCUUCUCCUUCCUACCCGGCCCCGCUCGGGACUGGAAGGUCCGGGACGCCCGCGGCGGCCGCGUCCUCCUCAGCAGAUCUCCCUUGGAUAAUUCUCUGGCGGUGUGCGACCCCUUGCACCGGCGGUACCGCCUGCUUCCCCUGAUCCCUGAAGUUGAGGGGUGGGUUCCUCAUUCAGUGGAAAACCCAUACCGGCAGUCCUUCCUCGGCGACGCGGAGGAGACCGCAGAAGAGACAUCAUUCACAGUGAUCUCCAUCGCGCAUUGGGGGGAUAAAGAUAAGCAGGGCGCUUUCGUCUUCUCUUCCAGCACCGGACAAUGGCGAGGCACUCCAUGGAUUGCAGGCUUUGCUUCAUUCUUCUGGUACCGGCACGCAUAUGGCUGCUUCUACGGGGUGACAGCAUGCAGGGAGAAGUUGCUGGUGCUUGACACCCAGAAAAUGGAGUUCUCACUUGCUGACCUCCCACCCCAAGCUUCAGGACAAAAUGUGGGUAUAGCCAUUGUGGAGGCAGGGGAAGGCAUCACUGGGAUGUUUGUGCUUGCACAUGGCACAUCUCAUAUCAGUUAUCUAAUUAGGCGAAACAAUGGUGGCAGUUCCAGCCAGUGGCAGUUUGAGAGGACAAUUCCACUGGUCUCUUCUUGGUACAGUUUCAUGGGUUCAACAGAGAGGCACUUGCUUCUUGUAUCACAGGGAGACACUUUCACGUUGGACAUCAAAACAUUCCAACUUGAGAAGGUGGUCAGACGUGGCAUCAGUUCGCCAUGUGUAUAUAGAAACUUCCCACCAUCGUUGUUGUCGUCACCGACAAUAUCAAAUGGUAAACUUUCUGUUGUGUCCAAGUUAUCACCCAGCUUGUCUGAUGCUUCAUAGUACAUUACUGUGAUUGCUUAUUCUUGUUUACACUAUUUGGUACUCCCUCCGUCCCAAAGUAAGUGUCUCAACCUUAGUACAACUUUGUACUAGAGUUAGUAUAAAGUUGAGACACUUAUUUUGAGAUGGAGGGAGUAGUUGUUUUACUUUAUUGUGCUUGUGGCAGGACUAAUCAAGCUCAGGAGCACAAUUGUGAUUUAUUUGUUUUCCUGUUCUAAUUGCCAUCAUAAGGACAAGUGUAAAAAGUAGGCUGGAGGCCUAAUGGACUCGUAAAAAAACACUAGAUGGCAUGUUAGAGUACGUAAUGGGCCUAAUGAGCCCGUUAGUCUUAGGGUUAAUUAGAGAUAAUGCUCGCUUGCUUAGGGGUCAAGUAAGCCUUACUUGGGAAUCAAGUAAACCUCUCUAUAUAAAGAGAGGAGAUGUAUCAAUCUAAUCAAGCAAGAAUUAAGAAGGAAAUCCCUUCCCUCUUGCCUGGCCGUGGGCAAAAGGCCCCGGGCCGGCCCUCUCGCAUCCUCCUUCUAGCAGCGCCAUAACAAUUUGGUAUCAGUUAGCUUCGGUUCGAUCAUGUCUUCACUGCCGUCAAGCCCGUCUCUUCCGCUGCCGACCUCCACCAUCGCGUCGCUGCCCAUCACCACCGCGCCGCUGAUCUCCCCGUCCGCGCCGCUGGACUCCACCGCCGGUGCCUCCACCGGCCAGAUGCCUUCCUCCACCGCGCCCCCUACCGCCGUCUUCACCCCGGAGCAGGUCACCGGGGUCCUCAAUGACCUGGUCACAGCGGUCCAGGGAGAUCCUGCUAUACUUACCCAGACCCUACGGGCCGCCGCCACCCCCGCCGCCGGUCGCCGCCAUCGGCCCACCGGCCCUGCCAUGGUACCCGCCACCCGCGGCGGCUUUCGUGGCGCUCGCGGGGCCGCUGCAGCCGCCGCCUGUCGCCACCCCGCAAUGGCUGCAGUGGCUGUCGCCGACUCUNNNNNNNNNNNNNNNNNNNNNNNNNNNNNNNNNNNNNNNNNNNNNNNNNNNNNNNNNNNNNNNNNNNNNNNNNNNNNNNNNNNNNNNNNNNNNNNNNNNNNNNNNNNNNNNNNNNNNNNNNNNNNNNNNNNNNNNNNNNNNNNNNNNNNNNNNNNNNNNNNNNNNNNNNNNNNNNNNNNNNNNNNNNNNNNNNNNNNNNNNNNNNNNNNNNNNNNNNNNNNNNNNNNNNNNNNNNNNNNNNNNNNNNNNNNNNNNNNNNNNNNNNNNNNNNNNNNNNNNNNNNNNNNNNNNNNNNNNNNNNNNNNNNNNNNNNNNNNNNNNNNNNNNNNNNNNNNNNNNNNNNNNNNNNNNNNNNNNNNNNNNNNNNNNNNNNNNNNNNNNNNNNNNNNNNNNNNNNNNNNNNNNNNNNNNNNNNNNNNNNNNNNNNNNNNNNNNNNNNNNNNNNNNNNNNNNNNNNNNNNNNNNNNNNNNNNNNNNNNNNNNNNNNNNNNNNNNNNNNNNNNNNNNNNNNNNNNNNNNNNNNNNNNNNNNNNNNNNNNNNNNNNNNNNNNNNNNNNNNNNNNNNNNNNNNNNNNNNNNNNNNNNNNNNNNNNNNNNNNNNNNNNNNNNNNNNNNNNNNNNNNNNNNNNNNNNNNNNNNNNNNNNNNNNNNNNNNNNNNNNNNNNNNNNNNNNNNNNNNNNNNNNNNNNNNNNNNNNNNNNNNNCGCUGCAGCUGCCAUCCAUCGCCACCAUCGCCCAGCCCUGCCUGCAGUGGCAGCCGCCGCUCCUGGCGGCCUCCGCCGCGCCCGACGCUCCGCCGCAGCAGCCGCUACCGCUGCCCGGCGCGACACCGCAGCAGCUGCUGCAGUUCCGGCAGCCACCGCCGGUCAGCUUCGCCGCCCAGUAUGGGAUGCCCUACGACAGGACUGCGACGACCUCGUUCCCAUCAGCGUCGCUGCCAUCCCAGGGCGUCCACAUCCAGCAGAUCAAGUCCCCGUCAUCGCCGUCACCGCUUCCGUCUUGGAUCGCUACCCGCCAUGUGUCGGCGGCGGUGAGGCUGCAGGCUGCUGCGCGAGGCCUCCUAGCGCGGCGGCUUGUGCAGGAGAUGCGUGGUCUGCAGCUGCCGCUUCUUCAAGUUGCCCUUCACUGCGCAAAGGACCUCGAUCUCGUCCGCUGCGUCGGGGAUCUUGGGCAUGCGGUUUCCCCCACGGGCGUUGGGCAUGCUGUUUUCCCCGCGGGCAGCGACCUCAAAGUCUGCGACAUCGGCGGUUGGAGGGGGGGCGCACCCCUCCUCGUCAUUCUCCAUCGCAAGUCCUCCACUCUUUCCUGUGCGGUGCAGACCAACAGCCAUACACAUGCACUCCUUUUGUCCAGGUGGUGUCCAUGGGAUCCAGGUGGCUGUACACGUGCACGUCCAAAAUAAAGCGUCCGAGUCUAUUUCAGAGUCUAUUUCAGGUUGAGAGUAAUAACACAAGCCGAGAUGUAAAAGGCUUGUUUUUAGGUGUUAGGUUUGUGUUGCGUCGAGUCAUGGUUAUAAGUUGGUUAGGCUGCAGCUCGAGGACAAGCUGCAUGUCCAGGUGGGGUGUAGUGUUAGAGUACGUAAUGGGCCUAAUGGGCCCGUUAGUCUUAGGGUUAAUUAGAGAUAAUGCUCGCUUGCUUAGGGGUCAAGUAAGCCUUGCUUGGGAAUCAAGUAAACCUCUCUAUAUAAAGAAAGGAGAUGUAUCAAUCUAAUCAAGCAAGAAUUAAGAAGGAAAUCCCUUCCCUCUUGCCUGGCCGUGGGCAAAAGGCCCCCGGCCGGCCCUCUCGCAUCCUCCUUCUAGAAGCGCCAUAACAUGGCAACAAUUCAUUUGGAGAAAUGUUUCUUGUGGUCAAACUAAUAGAUAUAUUGUUCAAGUCAGUCAUGCAUUAUCUUGUUUUCUCUUUUCAUAGAUAUAAUGAGGCGAAUAGGUCCUUAGUUGUCAUCUUUACACCUAUAAAUUUAUCUCAUGAUGUUGAUUUCAGAUAAAUCUGCAUAACUAAUAUGGUAAAAAAUAUGAGACGGAUCUGUUGAUACCGCUAAUGUUAACGCUAAUGCAUCUCCUAUAUAUGAUGUGAGCAAAAUUGAGGUCGCGAGCUUGAAUAUUCUUUUGUUCCAUGGAUUGCUUUUCAGAUAGCAAGAAUAGUUUGUCAGCUUGUGCUCAGUAACAGUUUGAUUAGAAAUCAGUUGGGCGCCUAUGUUUGUUUUGACGGCAUGUUCCUCUGUCUCAGGCACAUGCCAAAUGCAAGCAAUCAGUUUUUCUAGGAUGACAGAGCACACACAUAGUAUGUUGAGUGUCGCUACUGAGUCCCCUGAGUAUUUUUUCUUGAGUGAGAAAUUUGGUUACUACAUAACUUGUGAAGUUCCGUAACAGGAAGCCACCAUUUAUUUACAACUAUUAUUAAGUUCCUUUAGGAUUCACUUCUACAUUCCUUUUUCCUGCUAUGUAUUUAAACUUGGACUACUAAUUACACUGGACAACACAUGGAAGAGAGUGUUUGAUACUUUGUGGUCAAUAAACCAAUUUGCUGUCCUUCUUCCCAUGUUUUUUCUGCAAGCAAUUUACUGAGUGCUGCCCGUCCUUUCCUUCCUCUUUGCUCACUGGCUUUUGAAUAUCUGCAACUCGAGUACUCCUAAUAUUUAGAUAUUGGUCAGGUGUUGACACCGAGGAUGAUGAGGUGCUGGAAAAACGCCGCGUUGCAAGCUCAAGCCCAUAUUCUCCAGGGUUUGAAUAGCCCUGACACCAGUGCUGGAGGUCAGGGCUGAUUCGUCGAUUAUCAAGAUGGUGACGACCGAUGUGAUGCAAGUCGACAGUUAACCACUAAAUUGGUCUGCUUUUGCCCUUUGGUAUGUAUAAUGGCCAUCUAGAAGGAUACAAUAUAGAACCUGGAGUGUUUUAUCUUGCGUUUGAUUAACCUUGCAAAAAGCUAAGAUCGUGUAAGCAGUCAAGUUUGUGGAGUGGACCUUGUCAGGUAUUCAGAUGUAAGGACAACAUGAUGAUCUAUUAAAAGUCAGACUUUCUACCCUAUUGUUUACAGUCACUUCAUAUUAUUUGGCGGCUCUGGAAAAAGAAGUUAUCCUAGAGAUGAGCUGAUAAUCUCUAGCGUGAUUUAAUUUCCAUCGUGACUUAAUUUCUUAGUGUUGAUUUCUUCAUUAUUACAACCUUUGCCUGGCUAUGCAUUUCAAUCCGCAUUGCUAACUACUCGUACAAAAUAAUCCCUCUUCAUUUCAGUUCUUUUAUUAUAUGCAGUUGAUUGAGCUAAUUCAGAGGCCAGUUCUAGUCCAAUGCCUUCAGUACCUUACUUCAGGGCGGGAAUGUGCUUUCCUGUUUCAGGAUUGCAGUGCGCUCUCCUUUCAGAGAGGAAAAAGAAAACAAUAUCCAAAUGAGGAAACUGCUUUAGAUGUCAGGAUAUCAGAACAGGGUGAAACUGCAGGUGCAGGAUGUAUUACCAACUUCAUGUCCUGGAAUGAAGUUGGUCUUGUUUGAGUCAGCUGGCCAGAAAAUACAUAGCCAGACAAGUAGGAAGCAGCCAGCCAGCAACAUACCAAGCUGGUCUGAGUGCAUUCUUUUCUCAGAAAGAACUUUUUUUUAUCUUUGUGCUCAUGGUUAGAUUGUUCAGCGGCAACAGAAAUGGUGUGAGUGCAUUUUUUUCCUCAGAAAUAACUUACAGCAGAAUUGAGCGAAUGACACAUCCACACUGCAUUUUGAAAAAGGUUUAGAAAGCUUCAAACAGAUGACAUUCAGUCUGUUACACAAACAGAUAGCAUGCAGUUCAUUACAGAGUAGGGAAAUUCUAACGGGCUUCCUGUUGAAAACAGUCAACGCUGCUUCUGACGUCAGUGCCGCAUUCAUCUCUGGCCAGAGCGGACGUGACCUCUCAUUGAUGCCGGCAUUGAAGCAGCACGCCGAUCGAGAGAGCGCCACCCAUGUCCGCUUCCCGGUAAAGCGACGACUCCGCGUUCAAACGAAACCCCGUCGGUCCAUCGCCCUACAUUAAUGAUAUGAGGUUGCCGAGGAACCUACUCCAGAUCCGGUCCCUUUCUCCUCACAUAAACUCCACCAUGCCCGCCAUGGCCUCCUCGUGCUCCAAAGCCCUCUGGGACACCCUCUCCUCGAAGCAGAAGAAGGAGAUGACCGCCAUUGCUGUCGGCUGGUAGGCUGACCAGCCGACGGAGGCCAACGACACCCCAAUGGAGGGCGAUCCGGCACCACCCUCCUGGCUGGUGCAUGCUGGCCACACCAUCGGCAAGGCCCAUGUGCACUACACAAACAUGCUGCGGGAGGAGCAGGAGCUUAAGUUCCAGCAGACGCAGGCAGACCAGGCCUACAACCUCGGCCUCCUCAAGGAGCACCAGCGCGCGAAGGAGCAACUCGCACCGGCUCGGCCAUCGUGAUGGACGUGGACGUGGCAGAGCAGGAUGCAUUGGUCGACUCCUACCACUCCGCCCGCGAGAUCCACCGCGACCGCUAGCAGUACCGCCGCCAUCAGGCGGAAUUGGAGGCUGCCUACAGGGAAUUGGACGAGGCGACGGAUGAAGUGUGGGGCAAGAGUGACAACGAGGAGGAUAUUGCCAGCUCUGCCCCAGGCGCGCACUAUCGCCACGACACGAAGCCGGCCCAGGUGACAGUGAAAAAGAGUAGUGCACGGUAGGUUGCCAUUGCUCGGGUCCCAGGAAGGCCACCGCUCCUCCUCUUCCAUUCAAGCCGAGCAUGGUCAGCUGAACAUCGUCUAUCGAUUACUCACUUGGUGCCGACAUGGAGGCAGAUAGCUUCACUUCUCGGGAUUUCGGAGGCGGAGCUGGAGAGCGUCGAGGUGGAACUGGAGAAGGCGAAGGCAAGAGGCGGGGCUUUAGUUCUUGGGGCUCAUGGUCGGACAUGGGAAAUGCACCGGGAUAAUUUAGAGUAGGGUUUAGUCCGGUUUAUAUAAAAAAUGUAAUGCAUUUCAUCCGGUUUGUAUGAAAAAUGUUCGAAAUGUAAUGAAUUUUGUCCUAUUUAUAUGAAAUAUGUCGUGUUUGCAUGAAUUUCAUUCGGUUAGUUCAAAUAGUGGUUGAAAUGUAUGCGGGUAGCGUUGGAUGGCCGCCUCCCGUAUCCAUGUCCACGGACUGGUCCCCCUAUCCAUGCACAAAUGCGGGAGCAAAUUUACAUGUCAGCAUUGGAGAUGCCUUAAGUUGGUCUAUGUUUGUGUCUGAUUUGAUCUGUAACUAGAACGGUUGGGCGCGCUUUGUCGUGCCAUUGGUGUUGUUGGGUUUCUUAAAAAAAUACUCACUCUAUUUUAAAAUAUAGGGCAUAUUACUUUUUUGAAAAGUCAAACAUGUUUAAGUUUGAUCAAAUUCACAGAUAAAUAUAUAUCAAAUCCAUAAUAUCAUAUCGGUAUCAUCAGAAUUCAUCAUGAAAGGAAUUUCCAUAUUUUUUGUUUAAUAUUGUAGAUGUCGGUAUUUUAGGAUCUGAACUUGGUCAAAGUUAAGAAAUUUGAUUUUUCAAAAAAGUAUUGCCCCUUAUAUUUUCAAACUGAUGGAAUAUUUGGUUUGGAGAGUGAGGGUGAUGAAUCGAUGAUGGAGUGCCUAUCUAUAAUGUGGUGAUUUGGUGGGCCUUUCGCGGUGUGAUUCUAUGUUAUCCGCUAAUCAACUGAUAUUUAUGUGGAGAAAGAAAUUUUUGCAUCGGUUGCUAGUACUAUAUUGGAGCCACAGUAUCACAUGAUGGCACUUCUUUUUUCUAGAUGGUGGAAGGGUGCACGGGAUUGAUAUGUUUUUACCUCAAUUGAUUAAUUAAAAAAAUCAUUGACCCGAUCAAAAUUGUAAACUAAAUCCAAAACUGAAUACCUCAAGCGAAUGAAAGAGUUUCAAAAGUAGGGAAGAUAUUGAAUUAAAAGAAUUUAAUGAAAGAGCUCCGUGAGAAAUUGUUGACCCGAUCAAAAUAGGACAACCCAAUUCUAAAUCGAAGACCUCAGUUAAUUACGAGGCCUUAAAAAUUAGAAACCAUAGUGUACAAUGUAAGAGCUUCUCCAAUAGAAGAUUCAUAUUUAGAGAUGUAAAACAGGAGAUGUACAAAUUUACAUCUCCAAAAAAUGCUUUUUGCAUCUCCAAAAAAGUGACAACUCCAACAGAUGAUGCAAAAUGAAGAUGUAAAAGAGCAACUCCAAUAGAAGAUGCAAACUAGAGAUGUAAAACCGGCCGCCGGUCGCGCGACUGCUGUUCUGCCACUGCACAGCUGCAUUUGCACAUUGAAUUUUCAUAAAUAGUAGCAACAGAAGUGCAUCAUCGACCAUAGUUUAAAAUCCUACAAGCAAAAGUCAAUUGUCUCAAACGAAGUUGUUGGUCCAACAAAUGAAAAUGCACGUAGAUAUCACUCAAUUUGUGCCCUCAUCGUUGUCACUAGUGCCAUUGUGGACGGUUGUAUGAUCUUCAUCAAUGGUUGUAUGAUCUUCAUCAAUGGUUGUAUGAUCUUCAUCUACGGGCCUAGCCCCUCAGUUUAUAUAGAUAUUUGGGGUCCUAGGGUCACAAUAUCCUAGUUGGCUAUGUAAGAGGAAUCCGAGUCUUCCACGAAUCCAGCUUCUUGGAGUAUACGUCAAGUUUUCUGAAUCCUUUCGAAGUGGCCCGUGCCAGAACCGACAAGGGGGGAGGGAGGUCCUUGUCCCAUCUCCUCGGGCUAGGAGGCUAUGUGUGUUGGGAAACAUAGCAUGCAAUUUUAAAAAAAUUCCUACGCUCACGCAAGACCUAUCUAGGAGAUGCAUAGCAAAGAGAGGGAGAGUGUGUGUCCGUGUACCCUCGUAGACCGAAAGCGGAAGCGUUAACUUAACGCGGUUGAUGUAGUCGAACGGCUUCUCGAAUCAACCGAUCAAGUACCGAACGUACGACACCUCCAAGUUCUGCACAUGUUCAGCUCGAUGACGUCCCACAAACUCUUGAUCCAGAAGAGGCACAAAGGAGUCGAUGAGUUCCGUCAGCACGACGACAUGGUGACGGUGUUGGUGAUGUGAUUCGCGCAGGACUUCGCCUAAGCACUACGACAAUAUGACCGAAGGAGUAAACGGUGGAGGGGGCACCGCACACGGCUAAGAAACAACUGUUGUGCUUUGGGGUGCCCCCUGCUCCGUAUAUAAAGGAGGAGAGGGGAGGUCGCCGGCCCUAGGGGGCGCGUCAAGUGGGGGGGGGCCACUAGGACUCCUAGUCCUAGUCGGCUCCCCCUUCCUUCCAAUGGAGGAGGAAAAGGGAAAGAGAGGGAGAGGGAAGGGGGGCCGCGCCCCUUCCCCUAGUCCAAUUUGAAAUCCCAUGGGUGGGCGCGCGCCACCUCCUCGUGGCCUGCCUCUCCUCUCCCCUAUGGCCCGUUAAGGCCCAAUACUUCCCUGGGGGGUUCCUGUAACCCCUCGGUACUCCAAACAAUAUCCGAACCUCUCCGGAACCAUUCCGGUGCCGAAAUAUAACCUUCCAAUAUAUCAAUCUUUACCUCUUGACCAUUUCAGAACUCCUCAUCAUGUCCGUGAUCUCAUCCGGGACUCCGAACAACCUUCGAUAACCAAAACACAUAACACAUAUAAUACAUAUCGUCAUCAAACAUUAAGCGUGCGGACCCUACGGGUUCGAGAACUGUGUAGACAUGACCGAGACACCUCUCCGGUCAAUAACCAAUGGCAUAACCUGGAUGCUCAUAUUGGUUCCCACAUAUUCUACGAAGAUCUGUAUCGGUCGAACCGCAAUGUCAACAUACGUUAUUCCCUUUUUCAUCGGUAAGUUACUUACCCGAGAUUCGAUCGUCGGUAUCUUCAUACCUAGUUCAAUCUCGUUACUGGCAAGUCUCUUUACUCAUUCCGUAGUGCAUCAUCCCGUAACUAACUCAUUAGUCACAUUGCUUGCAAGGCUUCAUAUGAUGUGCAUUACCAAGAGGGCCCAGAGAUAUCUCUCCGAUACUCGGAGUGACAAAUCCUAAUCUCGAUCUAUGCCAACCCAAUAAACACCUUCGGAGAUACCUGUAGAGCAUCUUUAUAAUCACUUAGUUACGUUGUGACGUUUGAUAGCUCAAAGGAAUUCCUCCGGUGUCCGGGAGUUGCAUAAUCUCAUAGUCGAAGGAAUAUAUAUUUGACACGAAGAAAGCAGUAGCAAUAAAACUGUACGAUCAUUAUGCUAAGCUAACGGAUGGGUCUUGUCCAUCACAUCAUUCCACUAAUGAUGUGAUCCCGUUUAUCAAAUGACAACUCAUGUCCAUGGCUAGGAAACUUAACCAUCUUUGAUCAACGAGCUAGUCUAGUAGAGGCAUACUAGGGACACGGUGUUUUGUCUAUGUAUUCACACAUGUAUCAAGUUUCCGGUUAAUACAAUGCUAGCAUGAAUAAUAAACAUUUAUCAUGAAUAAGGAAAUAUGAAAUAACAACUUUAUUAUUGCCUCUAGGGCAUAUUUCCUUCAGUCUCCUACUUGCACUAGAGUCGGUAAUCUAGAUUACAUUGUAAUGAAUCUAACACCCAUGGAGUCUUGGUGCUGAUCAUGUUUUGCUCGUGGAAGAGGCUUAGUCAAUGGGUCUGCAACAUUCAGAUCCGUAUGUAUUUUGCAAAUUUCUAUGUCUCCCUCCUUGACCAAAUCUCGGAUGGAGUUGAAGCGUCUCUUGAUGUGUUUGGUCUUUUUGUGAAAUCUAGAUUCCUUUGCCAAGGCAAUUGCUCCAGUAUUGUCGUUGGACCGAUGCACUAGGUAUUACACCUAGAUCAGAUAUGAACUCCUUUAUCCAUACUCCUUCAUUUGUUGCUUCCGAAGCAGCUACGUACUCCGCUUCACACGUAGAUCCCGCCACGAUGCUCUACUUGGAACUGCACCAACUGACAGCUCCACCAUUUAAUAAAAAUACGUAUCCGGAUUGUGACUUAGAGUCAUCCGGAUCAUUGUCAAAGCUAGCAUCGGCAUAACCACUUACGACAAGCUCCUUGUCACCUCCAUAAAUAAGAAACAUAUCCCUAGUCCUUUUCAGGUACUUUAGGAUGUUCUUAGCCGCUGUCCAGUGAUCCACUCCUAGAUUACUUUGGUACCUCCCUGCUAAACUUAUAGCAAGGCACACAUCAGGCCUGGUACACAGCAUAGCAUACAUGAUAGAACCUAUGUCCGAAGCAUAGGGAAUGACUUUCAUUUUCUCUCUAUCUUCUGAGAGGUCGGGCAUUGAGUCUGACUCAAUUUCACACCUUGUAACAUAGGCAAGAACCCUUACUUUGACUGAUCCAUUUUGAACUUCUUCAGAACUUUAUCAAGGUAUGUGCUUUGUGAAAGUCCUAUCAAAACUUUAUCACCGAGGUCUUUCAUUGAAAAACUCUUAUUCAAGUAUCCUUUUAUGCUAUUCAUAAAUUCUACAUCAUUUCCAAUCAACAAUAUGUCAUCCACAUAUAAUAUUAGAAACGCUAUAGAGCUCCCACUCACUUUCUUGUAAAUACAGGCUUCUCCAAAAGUCUGUAUAAGACCGUAUGCUUUGAUCACCUCAUCAAAGCGUAUAUUCCAACUUCGAGAUGCUUGCACCAGUCCAUAAAUGGAUUGCUGGAGCUUGCACACUUUGUUAGCAUCUUUAGGAUCGACAAAAGCUUCUAGUUGCAUCAUAUACAACUCUUCUUUAAGAAAUCCAUUAAGGAAUGCAGUUUUGACAUCCAUUUGCCAGAUUUCAUAAUCAUAAAAUGCGGCAAUUGCUAACAUGAUUUGGACGGACUUAAGCAUCGCUACGGGUGAGAAAGUCUCAUCAUAGUCAACUCCUUGAACUUGUCGAAAACCCUUUGCAACAAGUCGAGCUUUAUAGACAGUAACAUUACCAUCAGCGUCAGUCUUCUUCUUGAAGAUCCAUUUAUUCUCUAUGGGUAACCGAUCAUCGGGCAGAUCCACCAAAGUCCACACUUUGUUCUCAUACAUGGAUCCUAUCUCAGAUUUCAUGGCCUCAAGCCAUUUAUCGGAAUCUGGGCUCAUCAUAGCUUCUUCAUAGUUCGUAGGUUUGUCAUGGUCAAGUAACAUGACCUCCAGAAUAGGAUUACCGUACAACUCUAGUGCGGAUCGUGCUCUGCCAGACCUACGAGGUUCUGUACCAACUUGAUCUAUAGUUUUAUGAUCUUUAUCAUUAGCUUCCUCUCUAGUUGGUGUAGGCAUCACGGGAACAGAUUUCUCGGAUGAGAAACUUUCCAAAUUGAGAGCAGGUAUCAAGUUCUACUUUUCUCCCACUCACUUCUUUCAAGAGAAACUCCUUCUCUAGAAAGGUUAUGUUCUUAGCAACAAAAAAUCUUGCCUUCAGACUUGUGGUAGAAGGUGUACCCAAUUGUUUCCUUAGGGUAUCCUACGAAAAAACAUUUCUCCAAUUUGGGUUUGAGCUUAUCGGGCUAAAGCCUUUGGACAUAAGCAUCGCAUCCCUAAACUUUAAGAAACGACAUCUUAGGUUUGUUGCCAAACCACAGUUCAUACGGUGUUGUCUCAAUGGACUUUGACGGUGCCCUAUUUAAAGUGAAUGCAGUUGUCUCUAAUGCAUAACCCCAAAACAAUAGUGGUAAAUCGGUAAGAGACAUCAUAGAUCGCACCAUAUCCAAUAAAGUGCGGUUACGACGUUCGGACACACCAUUACGCUGUGGUGUUCCAGGUGGCGUGAGCUGUGAAACUAUUCCACAUUGUUUUAAAUGAAGGCCAAACUUGUAAAUCAAAUAUUCUCCUCCAUGAUCAGAUCGUAGAAACUUUAUUUUCUUGUUACGAUAAUUCUCCACUUCACUUUGAAAUUCUUUGAACUUUUCAAAUGUUUCAGACUUGUGAAGGUCAGAAAAUAACGAUACCCACCAUGAGCAUCAAUACUCAUUGGACUGCAUACAUUGAUAUGUAUUAUUUUUAAUAAGUCACUAACUCGUUCCAUUGUUCCGGAGAACAGAGUUUUAGUCAUCUUGCCCAUAAGGCACGGUUCGCAAGUAUCAAAUGAUUCAUAAUCAAGUGAUUCCAAAAGUCCAUCUUUAUGGAGUUUCUUCAUGCGCUUUACACCGAUAUGACCCAAACGGCAGUGCCACAAAUAAGUUGCACUAUCAUUAUCAACUUUGCAUCUUUUGGCAUCAAUAUUAUGAAUAUGUGUAUCAUCACGAUCAAGAUUCAACAGAAAUAGACCACUCUUCAAGGGUGCAUGACCAUAAAAGAUAUUACUCAUAUAAAUAGAACAACCAUUAUUCUCUGAUUUAAAUGAAUAACCGUCUCGCAGUAAACAAGAUCCAGAUAUAAUGUUCAUGCUCAACGCUGGGACCAAAUAACUAUUAUUCAGGUCUAAAACUAAUCCCGAAGGUAGAUGUAGAGGUAGUGUGCCGACGGCGAUCACAUCGACCUUGGAACCAUUUCCGACGCGCAUCGUCACCUCGUCCUUAGCCAAUCUUUGUUUAAUCCGUAGUCCCUGCUUCGAGUUACAAAUAUAAGCAACCGAACUAGUAUCAAAUACCCAAGCACUACUACGAGAAUUAGUAAGGUACACAUCAAUAACAUGUAUAUCAAAUAUACCUUUGCUCACUUUGCCAUCCUUCUUAUCCGCCAAAUACUUGGGGCAGUUCCACUUCCAGCUGUGACUACUCCCUUUGGAGUAGAAGCACUCAGUUUCAGGCUUGGGUCCAUUUUUAGGUUUCUUCCCGGGAGUACAACUUGCUUGUCAUUCUUCUUGAAGUUCCCCUUCUUUUUACCCUUGCCCUUUUUCUUGAAACUAGUGGUUUUGUUAACCAUCAACACUUGAUGCUCCUUCUUGAUUUCUACCUCCGCGGCCUUUAGCAUCGCAAAGAGCUCGAAAAUAGUCUUUUCCAUCCCUUGCAUAUUGUAGUUCAUCACGAAGCCUUUGUAGCUUGGUGGCAGUGAUUGAAGAACUAUGUCAAUGACACAUUCAUCUGGAAGAUUAACUCCCAGCUGAGUCAAGUGAUUAUGGUACCCAGACAUUCUGAGUAUGUGCUCACUAACAGGACUGUUCUCCUCCAUCUUGCAGCUAUAGAACUUGUUGGAGACUUCAUAUCUCUCAACUCGGGAAUUUGCUUGAAAUAUUAACUUCAACUCCUGGAACAUCUCAUAUGGUCCAUGACGUUCAAAACGUCUUUGAAGUCCCGAUUCUAAGCCGUAAAGCAUGGCACACUGAACUAACGAGUAGUCAUCAACACGCGACUGCCAGGCAUUCACAAUGUCUGCAGAUGCUGGGGCAGGUGGUACACCUACCGGUGCAUCAAGGACAUAAUUCUUCUGUGCAGCAAUGAGGAUAAUCCUCAAGUUAUGGACCCAGUCCGUGUAGUUUCUACCAUCAUCGUUCAACUUAGAUUUCUCUAGGAACGCAUUAAAAUUCAAAGGAGCGGUAGCACGGGCCAUUGAUCUACAAUAUAGAUAUGAAAAAAAAACUAUAAGGACUAAGUUCAUGAUAAAUUAAGUUCAAUUAAUCAUAUUACUUAAGAACUCCUGAUGUCUACUACGCAACCUUCUUUUCUUGUAGACAUUGUUGGCCCUCCAAGUGCAGAGGUUUGUAGGAUAGUAGCAAAUUUCCCUCAAGUGAAAGACCUAAGGUUUAUCAAUCCGUGGGAGGCGUAGGAUGAAGAUGGUCUCUCUCAAACAACCCUGCAACCAAAUAACAAAGAGUCUCUUGUGUCCCCAACACAUCCUACAUAAUGGUAAAUUGUAUAGGUGCACUAGUUAGGCGAAGAGAUGGUGAUACAAGUGCAAUAUGGAUGGUAGAUAUAGGUUUUUAUAAUCUUAAAUUAUAAAAACAGAAAGGUAACUUAUGAUAAAAGUGAGCGUAAACGGUAUUGCAAUGCUAGGAAACAAGGCCUAGGGUUCAUACUUUCACUAGUGCAAGUUCUCUCAACCAUAAUAACAUAAUUAGAUCAUAUAACAAUCCCUCAACAUGCAACAAAGAGUCACUCCAAAGUCACCAAUAGCGGAGAACAAACAAAGAGAUUAUUGUAGGGUAUGAAACCACCUCAAAGUUAUCCUUUCUGAUCGAUCUAUUCAAGAGUCCAUAGUAAAAUAACACGAAGCUAUUCUUUCCGUUCGAUCUAUCAUAGAGUUCGUACUAGAAUAACACCUUAAGACACAAAUCAACCAAAACCCUAAUGUCACCUAGAUACUCUAAUGUCACCUCAAGUAUCCGUGGGCAUGAUUAUAUGAUAUGCAUCACACAAUCUCAGAUUCAUCUAUUCAACCAACACAAAGUACUUCAAAGGGUGCCCCAAAGUUUCUAUCGGAGAGUCAAGAUGAAAAUGUGUGCCAACCCCUAUGCAUAAGUUCAUUGAACCCGCAAAUUGAUCACCAAAACAUACAUCAAGUAGAUCACGUGAAUAUCCCAUUGUCACCACAGAUAAGCAUGCCAAGACAUACAUCAAGUGUUCUCAAAUCCUUAAAGACUCAAUCCCAUAAGAUAACUUCAAAGGGAAAACUCAAUCCAUUACAAGAGAGUAGAGGGGGAGAAACAUCAUAAGAUCCAACUAUAAUAGCAAAGCUUGCGAUACAUCAAGAUCGUGCCAAAUCAAGAACACGAAAGAGAGAGAGAGAGAGAGAGAGAGAGAUCAAACACAUAGCUACUUGUACAUACCCUUAGCCCCGAGGGUGAACUACUCCCUCCUCGUCAUGGAGAGCGCCGAGAUGAUGAAGAUGGCCACCGGUGAGGGAUCCCCCCUCCGGCAGGGUGCCGAAACAGGGUCCCGAUUGGUUUUUGGUGGCUACAGAGGCUUGCAAUGCCUGCGUUGCUUUUUCCCUUGAAGAGGAAAGGGUGAUGCAGCAAAGUAGCGUAAGUUUUCCCUCAGUUUUUUAGAACCAAGGUAUCAAUCCAGUAGGAGGCUCCUCAAAAGUCCCACGCACCUACACAAACAAACAAGAACCUCGCAACCAACGCGAUAAAGGGGUCGUCAAUCCCUUCACGGUAACUUGAGAAAGUGAGAUCUAAUAGAGAUAAUAUGAUAAGAUAAAUAUUUUUGGUAUUUUUAUGAUAUACUCCCUCCGUUCCUUUAUAUAAGGUGUAUUUAUUUUUUGAUAAAAUUUCACAAUAUAAGGUGCAUUUCUUCUAAUUCCUCAUAAUCCCUUUUUUAUCCCUGUAGAAAAAGGAAAGUAUCACUCUCCCGAUUUUCUGUAUCUCUCUUUAUAGAAAAAGAAGGAAAGUAUAUUUUUCCUGAUUUCCUGCAUCUCUUUCUUUCAAAGCCUAACUGAUUUACUUGCCAGUUAUCAACAAAUUUGACAAGGGUAAUUUCGUACUAAUGUAUCUAUAAUUCGUUGCCUUGGUCACCGUGCCUAAAAAUAUACACCUUAGAUAAAGGAACAGAGGGAGUAGAUUGGAAAAUAAAAGAUGCAAAUAAAAGUAGAUGAAAAACUUAUAUGAUAAAGGAUAGACCCGGGGGCCAUAGGUUUCACUGGUGGCUUCUCUCAAGAUAGCAUAAGUAUUACGGUGGGUGAACAAAUUACUGUCGAGCAAUUGGUAGAAAAGUGCAUAGUUAUGAGAUUAUCUAGGCAUGAUCAUGUAUAUAGGCAUCACGUCCGUGACAAGUAGAUCGAAACGAUUCUGCAUCUACUACUAUUACUCCACACAUCGACCGACUCCUACUUGCAUCUAGAGUAUUAAGUUCAUGAAGAACAGAGUAACGCAUUAAGAAGGAUGACAUGAUGUAGAGGGAUAAACUCAUGCAAUAUGAUAUAAACCCCAUCUUUUUAUCCUCGAUGGCAACAAUACAAUACGUGCCUUGCUGCCCCUGUUGUCACUGGGAAAGCACACCGCAAGAUUGAACCCAAAGCUAAGCACUUCUCCCAUUGCAAGAAAGAUCAAUCUAGUAAGCCAAACUAAACUGAUAAUUCGAAGAGACUUGCAAAGAUAACCAAUCAUACAUAAAAGAAUUCAGAGGAGAUUCAAAUAUUUCUCAUAGAUAAACUUGAUCAUAAACCCACAAUUAAUCAGGUAUCGACAAACACACCGCAAAAAGAGUUACGUCGAAUAGAUCUCCAAGAAGAUCGAGGAGAACUUUGUAUUGAGAUUCAAAGAGAGAGAAGAAGCCAUCUAGCUAAUAACUAUGGACCCGAAGGUCUGUGGUAAACUACUCACAACUCAUCGGAGA